rnacentral:rRNA from 1 species
UACGUAGGGGGCAAGCGUUGUUCGGAAUUACUGGGCGUAAAGGGCGCGUAGGCGGCAGGCCAAGUCGGGAGUGAAAGCCCGGGGCUCAACCCCGGAAUGUCUUUCGAAACUGGCCAGCUGGAGUGCGGAAGAGGCAACUGGAAUUCCCAGUGUAGCGGUGAAAUGCGUAGAUAUUGGGAAGAACACCCGUGGCGAAGGCGGCUCUCUGGGACGGUACUGACGCUGAGACGCGAAAGCGUGGGGAGCGAACAGG